GUUUGGGUGAUGACUUCAGUUUGUCGGAUACCCCUUCACUCAUUGUAUGAGUGAGAACAGCAGUCUGACAAAC
ensembl:snoRNA small nucleolar RNA SNORD101